GGCAAGAUGGCCGAGUGGUCUAAGGCGCUGCACUCAAGUUGAUCAUUCACUUGUCCAAGAAAAUUGGAUGUAUUGCAGUCUCGAAAGAGGCGUGGGUUCGAGUCCCACUCUUGUCA
rfam:Aspergillus carbonarius ITEM 5010 unplaced genomic scaffold ASPCAscaffold_3, whole genome shotgun sequence.